UCCCCCAUUUCCAUCCCAUGCCCUGCCCCUGCCCCUGCCCCAAAGCAAUGUCUACGCAGGCAUCUCCCGGUGCCCAGCAUUGGAUGGUGUGUGGCCGUGUGCAGGAGCCCAGCCCAAGGACUCCGUGGUGAGCAAGGCUCAGGGUCUCCUAGGGGUGAGGGCCUGGGCUGCACCACCAGGGGAUCACCUGGACCCUCAGCAGAAGGUGGAGGGGGCGGGACCUUACCUGUGCGGCCCUGAGAUAGGUGGCGGCCACAGGACUUAGGGUUCAUGGAACCCGCCCGCUGGACCACACCCCCUGGGGGACACCUGAACCUCCCCCAGGGCCUCGGCCGUGAGCUUUGAUUGUAGACACACUUAACGCCACAGCCCCUUGACUAUUCCCUUCGCCUCUGAAAAUCCAGACAGGAUGCUACUGUUCGUGGAAACGUGUAUGUCCUUCGUGUGUUUUUCACUUUGACCAUAAACUCAUCUGCAGCAAAAAUGUAUGCAGAGACCCCGUGUGCACCCAGGGUCUGCAGACGUCUGAGAGUUUGCGUCUCGGUUCCCAGAAGGUGCGGCAGCUUGGAAACAUGUGCCACUAGUUUCUCAUCUCGGUGCAUUUUUGCUCCCCAUGGACACGCUUGUCUCAGAUUUUUUAAAACGCCAAGGGUGGGAGGCAGCAUGAUGCAGAAAGGGCAGAAACCGUAAGAGCUGGAUUUGGGGAUCCUUACUAGACACCUUGGGGCAUGCAGCACAGUGCAGGCCCACGCACGAGGUAAAGAGCCGCAGAAUGUUGUAGUAAAUGAAAUCAUGGUUUUUGGCCAGAAAAACCAUGGGAAGCUUUAUGGAGACGGCAAAGCUUGAGUGGGGCCUUGAAUAAUAAGAACCACCCACUAGCACAGCCAAUAAAAAUGAGAUAGAUUCACUUUCCCUUACAGUGAAGCAAAGAUCACAAAUCCUUAAAGUAAAUGGAUUUUCUCAUUAACCCACAUUCCUCCAAAAGCUUUAAUGGUGCCUACUGUGAAAUGAAAAUGGAGCCUAUUUUCCUUUAAGUUUUAAGUAAACUCUUAAUUCUAGCUGGGAUUCAUUGCCUUGAACCCACUGUGACAUUAGCUGAAGGAGGAGCCCAAUUAAGUUUUUAAUUUUGCUGAGUGAGCCCUCAGGUGCGACUCAUUUGCUAAUUAAGUAAAGCGAGGGGAUUCAAUGAGUGGCGCUGUGAGUGCGGCAGCCCCAGAGCAGAAGAAACAGGUGCAGCCCCUUAGCCACCUUAAGUCAACUGUGAGAAGGUUCACACUA
rnacentral:lncRNA from 1 species